GCCAGGCGUGGUGGGGCAUGCCUGUAAUCCCAGCUACUUGGGAGGCUGAGGCAGGGGAAUUGCUUGAAUCUGGGAGGCUGAGGUUUCAGUGAGCUGAGAUCAUGCCACUGCACUCUAGCCUGGGUGACAGAGUGAGACUCUGUCUCAA
rnacentral:SRP_RNA from 1 species